CACUGAAGGCUGACUUCUUUUACAUCUCUUUGGCCAGCCUGGAGUAGCAUGGCCAGACUGGGAAAAAGAGCCUCUCAAAGUGACUCACCAUCACCAUCUCCUGAGUAAUUGUCUGCGGGCUCCAUCACUCACUCUUGCCAACACAUUGGCCUGGACAUAGUUGGGCCUGAGCCAGUGACUGUCGCCCACAGUAGCCGCGUUGUACUGAUGGAAAUACUAAGAUUUAAUGGAAGAAGCCAACAUGGAACAGAAGUAGGUCUGCCCUGGGACAACGGCCCAUGAAAAAAUUGACUGCAGCACAUAUAAGGUUCUGAAUAACUCAACAUGCUUAUGUGGCAUUGGCCGUUUAAUCAGAGGAGAUUAAAAGCAGAUGUUCUGCUUGCUCUUCAUUAAAUGGCUUUGAGCAAAAGGUUAUAUGACACCCACGUUCAUAGCCUCAGAUCUUUC
rnacentral:lncRNA from 1 species